GGUUCCUUAUGGGACGGGAAAAAUAGUGCUGCUUCUGUUUGGAAUAUUUACAAAAAUCAACAGCAUGAUGAAAAAUUGGGCCAAUUGGCCCAGGCCAUAGGCUUAUUUCCGGGGCACAGGUAAGCAGUAUCUGGGCUGGAGUGAGCGAAUUGCAUGUUGUCUCCGCUCUUGGUUCUCUAACCCAAGAUUUACUGCUAAAAUGCUUUUAAGCAUUGCUGAAACAGCCAUGGGAUGCGGGAG